AGAACGAACGCUGGCGGCAGGCCUCAAACAUGCAAGUCUAGGGGUGUAGCAAUACACACCGGCGGACGGGUGCGUAACGCGUGGGAACAUACCUUUCGGUACGGAACAACCCAGGGAAACUUGGGCUAAUACCGUAUACGUCCUAACGGAGAAAGAUUUAUCGCCGAAGGAUUGGCCCGCGUUCGAUUAGCUAGUUGGUGGGGUAACGGCUCACCAAGGCGACGAUCGAUAGCUGUUCUGAGAGGAUGAUCAGCCACAUUGGGACUGAGACACGGCCCAAACUCCUACGGGAGGCAGCAGUGGGGAAUAUUGGACAAUGGGCGCAAGCCUGAUCCAGCCAUGCCGCGUGAGUGAUGAAGGCCCUAGGGUUGUAAAGCUCUUUUAACGGGGAAGAUAAUGACGGUACCCGUAGAAUAAGCCCGGCUAACUUCGCGCCAGCAGCCGC
rnacentral:rRNA from 1 species